GCCUGGGUCGCUCAGUCGGUUAAGCGUCCGACUUCAGCUCAGGUCAUGAUCUCACAGUUCGUGGGUUCGAGCCCCGCAUCAGGCU
rnacentral:tRNA from 1 species